rnacentral:rRNA from 1 species
AAGGUGGGGGAUAAUCUCGGGAAAUGAGGGUAAUACCCCAUAGGUCUGAUAUGCUGGAAUGCUUUCAGGCCGAAAACUCCGGUGCCUUAGGAUUGGUCUGCGGUCUAUCAGGCUGUAGUGGGUGUAACGGACCCACUAGCCCGUGACGGAUAUGGGCCUUGAGAGAGGGAGCCCAGAGAUGGACUCUGAGACAUGAGUCCAGGCCCUACGGGGCGCAGCAGUCGCGAAAACUUCGCAAUGGGGGCAACCCCGACGAGGGAAUUCCAAGUGCCAGCACUUUGUGUUGGCUGUUCUUCUGUCUAAAAAACAGGAGGAGUAAGGGGCGGGUAAGACGGGUGCCAGCCGCCGCGGUAAUACCCGCGCCCCAAGUGGUGGUCGAUAUUAUUGAGCCUAAAACGUCCGUAGCCGGUCUUCUAAAUCCUUGGGUAAAUCGGGCAGCUUAACUGUCCGAAUUCCGGGGAGACUGGGAGACUUGGGACCGGGAGAGGUCAGAGGUACUUCUGGGGUAGGGGUAAAAUCCUGUAAUCCUGGAAGGACCACCGGUGGCGAAGGCGUCUGACUAGAACGGAUCCGACGGUGAGGGACGAAGCCCUGGGGCGCAAACGGGAUUAGAUACCCCGGUAGUCCAGGGUGUAAACGCUGCGGGCUUGGUGUUGGGGGUCCUUAGUGGGCGCCCAGUGCCGGAGAGAAGUUGUUAAGCCUGCUGCUUGGGGAGUACUCCGCAAGGUGAAAC